UGCUGGAGCGAAUAGAAGUGAGCAUGCAGGCAUGAGUAGCGAUAAUUAAUGUGAGAAUCAUUAACGCCGUAAACCCAAGGUUUCCUACGCGAUGCUCGUCAUCGUAGGGUUAGUCGGGUCCUAAGUCGAGUCCGAAAGGGGUAGACGAUGGCAAAUUGGUUAAUAUUCCAAUACCAACAUUAGUGUGCGAUGGAAGGACGCUUAGGGCUAAGGGGGCUAGCGGAUGGAAGUGCUAGUCUAAGGUCGUAGGAGGUUAUACAGGCAAAUCCGUAUAACAAUACUCCGAGAACUGAAAGGCUUUUUGAAGUCUUCGGAUGGAUAGAAGAACCCCUGAUGCCAUCGAGCCAAGAAAAGUUUCUAAGUUUAGCUAAUGUUGCCCGUACCGUAAACCGACACAGGUGGGUGGGAUGAGUAUUCUAAGGCGCGUGGAAGAACUCUCUUUAAGGAACUCUGCAAAAUAGCACCGUAUCUUCGGUAUAAGGUGUGGUUCGCUUCGUAUUAGGAUUUACUCCGAAAGCGAAGAAACUUACAACAAAGAGUCCCUCCCGACUGUUUACCAAAAACACAGCACUCUGCUAACUCGUAAGAGGAUGUAUAGGGUGUGACGCCUGCCCGGUGCUCGAAGGUUAAUUGAUGGGGUUAGCAUUAGCGAAGCUCUUGAUCGAAGCCCGAGUAAACGGCGGCCGUAACUAUAACGGUCCUAAGGUAGCGAAAUUCCUUGUCGGUUAAAUACCGACCUGCAUGAAUGGCGUAACGAGAUGGGAGCUGUCUCAAAGAGGGAUCCAGUGAAAUUGUAGUGGAGGUGAAAAUUCCUCCUACCCGCGGCAAGACGGAAAGACCCCGUGGACCUUUACUACAGCUUGACACUGCUAUUUGGAUAAGAAUGUGCAGGAUAGGUGGGAGGCUUUGAGUAUAUGACGCCAGUUGUAUAUGAGCCAUUGUUGAGAUACCACUCUUUCUUAUUUGGGUAGCUAACCAGCUUGAGUUAUCCUCAAGUGGGACAAUGUCUGGUGGGUAGUUUGACUGGGGCGGUCGCCUCCCAAAUAAUAACGGAGGCUUACAAAGGUUGGCUCAGAACGGUUGGAAAUCGUUCGUAGAGUAUAAAGGUAUAAGCCAGCUUAACUGCAAGACAUACAAGUCAAGCAGAGACGAAAGUCGGUCUUAGUGAUCCGGUGGUUCUGUGUGGAAGGGCCAUCGCUCAAAGGAUAAAAGGUACCCCGGGGAUAACAGGCUGAUCUCCCCCAAGAGCUCACAUCGACGGGGAGGUUUGGCACCUCGAUGUCGGCUCAUCGCAUCCUGGGGCUGGAGCAGGUCCCAAGGGUAUGGCUGUUCGCCAUUUAAAGCGGUACGCGAGCUGGGUUCAGAACGUCGUGAGACAGUUCGGUCCCUAUCUGCCGUGGGCGUAAGAAGAUUGAAGAGAUUUGACCCUAGUACGAGAGGACCGGGUUGAACAAACCACUGGUGUAGCUGUUGUUCUGCCAAGAGCAUCGCAGCGUAGCUAAGUUUGGAAAGGAUAAACGCUGAAAGCAUCUAAGCGUGAAGCCAACUCUAAGAUGAAUCUUCUCUAAGCUCUCUAGAAGACUACUAGUUUGAUAGGCUGGGUGUGUAAUGGAUGAAAGUCCUUUAGCUGACCAGUACUAAUAGAGCGUUUGGCUUAUCUUU
rnacentral:rRNA from 1 species